GCUCCCUCCUGGAGCUCUGAAAGAGCUGCUGUCUAGGUUGUGAGGGGAAAUCAAUCCAGUGGCUGUUGGGAGUGUAGACUUGUCCCUUACCCCACUGCUGCCAGAGCAGUGGUUGAACCCCUGUCGUGUGGUAGUGGUUCUUUCCAUGGCUGCUGAGCCAGGCCAGGACGUGAGGAGAGCCAUGUAGGAGGAGACCAGGCCAUAUGGUCUGUUAGUCAGAAAAGCCACAGGGUCUCUGUGUCCAGUAGCCUCCGUAAAGGAUUCCCCCUUUAUAGCCAUGACAGUCAUGUCACAUGUCUACUAUGAGGGAGGUGACCUACCCACAGCCAACAUUAUCUUGGGGUUAGCUGUGGAAGUGGAGAAGAUCUUUGCAAAAGAUGGUAUUGGUCCAACAGGAUGGUGUAAAUGUCUGGGCCCGUGCUGAUGCUGUUGGCAACAGAACUGGAAAAGCAACUUUUAACAGGAGUCUUUCCUUUGUGAAUGGGCAUUUGGUCUGGCUCAAAGAGGGGAAGCUCUACAUGUGUGAUGAGAUGGUCCAGCAUGUAAGAAUUUGGGAACUCCUUUAUACAUGAGGAGAAAAUCCAUGGAACCCUGCCUAUCCCAGAACUGCCCCUCUAGGGUCUGUGAGAGAACAGGCUUAGACCAAACCAAUAUCCUAAUGCAAUAAGAACACCCUUAGCACUCAGGGUAAAAACUGAGGCACUAGGUGUUGUCUUGGCUCUGUAACUGGCCCAAACUGUUUCUUUGAGGCCAAACAUCAGCAAACAAGGGAUGGAUGAAUUGCAAGGGGAGUGAGAGGAUGCUGAUGGAUGGGGAGGGGGUGAGAUCUAGGGUUAGUAACCUAACUGCUGCAUAGGUAAGCAAAACCAUCACUACUACUUAGAGUUCUAGUCCCUAUGUAUAUUGCACACGCGGGUACGCACGCAUGCCAUGCACCUGAGACUGGAGAUUUCUAACCAGUAGUGUCUGUCGGUUGGGCUGCGGAGAUGCCCUCCUCGUGCUCCGAACUGAGGGAAUAAGAGUUGGUGCAGACGGAGACCUCACCAGUUUCUUCUUACCACUGCAUAGCCCGAGUUGGAAUCUUCUGUGUCCAUGGAUACCUCCGUGUUUCGUCUUCAGAACCUGUAAAUGUGCUGGCUUGAGACAUUUUGACACUGGAGGAGGAAACCUUGAGGAAAUGGAAAUGCUCCCCACUCCCAUCUGUAGGCAGGAGCUUUACCCACCAGAGCAGACAGCUCUGCUGGCUGAAUAGGAGCCAGCUUUCUCUCCCGAUGGGUUGGAAGCUCCAGAUGAACCAUCAUCCCCACGUAGGGAGGUGAGUUCAGACAGACUCAAAGAUCUGGAGUCCAUCCUCCACCCAGAUACGAUUAUCCAAGGGACUGAUGGUCUGUGAUUCCUUGGGAUCCCCCGCAACUGGUCAGCCCUUCAUAUUGGACCUGUUAGGGUCUAUGGGAUCCCUACUUUAGACACCUUUGAUCCAUCCAUGAGUCCCAUUGACCC